rnacentral:lncRNA from 1 species
AAUGAUUACACAGAAGACACUGUAGAUACCAAGCCUGAUAGAGAUAUUGAGUUAGAACUUUCAGCCCUUGAUACUGAUGAGCCUGAUGGCCAAAGUGAACAAAUUGAAGAAAUUCUGGACAUACAACUUGGUAUCAGUUCUCAAAAUGAUCAGUUGCUAAAUGGAACUGCAGUGGAAAAUGGUCAUCCUGUCCAGCAGCACCAAAAGGACCCCGUAAAGCAGAAGAGACAGAGUUUAGGUGAAGACCAUGUGAUUCUGUGAGUGUUAGACAGACCCUUCAUAAUUAGAGGGCAUAGGGGAUAAAUACUUGGAGAGGUAGAUGUGCUGUUAGAUUCAUUGUUUUGCCUUUUUCUAUUUAGGGGGAAACCUUGUAUAAUAAACUAAUGAUUUGAUCAAUCUGUGUUUUUAGGGAAAUUUGAACUAGUAAAGCAGUUUAAUUUAAAGCCAAAACCUAAUUUGGGGAUGAAAGUUCUGUUCUCUCUAACAUCACGGUAUAUAGUUCUUCAAUUUGACCAAACCUGAAGCUCUUAGGAUAAGAGAUUCAGUCCUAGAUUAUUUCAACUCUGGGAAAGCACAAGCAGCAUCUGCUAUUCACAUUUUCUAGGCUGUCAAUGGAGUCCAUAUCAGG